UUAGUUGUAUAAAUAUAUAUGACUAUAGCCUAUAGGAAUAAUAUAACAUAAGGGAUAUAAAGAAUCUGUACAGGCAUAUCAAAUUUGUAAUAUUUCCUGGUCAUGAGAUACAUGUACAUGUAUAAGCUCUGAAAUGGGUGGGUGAUUCAGUGGUUAAUUUCAAUGUGUAAAUUUCUUUUAAAAUAUGAGAUAUGAAUUUAGAGGAUGCAUGGCUAUCUAUUUUUUUUGUGUAUGGGAAAGAGGAGCCUGUGCCUGUAAUCGCUUUCCUUUUGUAUUUUAUGUUUAUGAAAGAUUUAAUUUUUAGAAUUUUACAUUUUGGUGUACUAUUCAUGACAUAUAUAUAUGUUAGCGGCAAUAAAUAAAAUUAGGCAUUAAGCUUAAAUCCUAGGCAAUAAGCUAACGCCUAGGCAGUAAGUCUAUUGCCUAAAUGUUGUUAGGCAUUAGUCUUAAAUCCUAGGAUUUAAGCUUAAAUCCUGAAAAAUGUGUGCAGGCAUUAAGCUUAAUGCCUAAAAUGUAAAUGCGAGUAAAUAAAAGACAUUUAUUCAUUUAAAUUAAAAUACAUUUGUUACAUACUAACAUUAUGAUAACUGUGGCCUGUUUAUCGACACUGUCCUAAGGUUAGUCCUAUAAGAUAUUCUUAAGACAGAAAAUAUGAUAUAGUUAGGAUCGACUUACGACAUUUCUUAGCAUGCUGCACAUCGAAGCUAUCUGAGGAUUAUAUUAGCUGGGGUGUCCUUAGUAUUGGCGUAAAAGAAAAUAGCAAAUAAAAAAAAAAGAAAUAUUGUAUCAAAUUCAACCAAAAACUUUAAUUCAUCAACCGAUUAAUUAUUAGAAAAUAUUUACCACAUUUAUCGCACAGUAUUCUGUUAAUU
rnacentral:lncRNA from 1 species